rnacentral:rRNA from 1 species
AGUCGAGCGGACGACAGGAGUGCUUGCACUCCUUGAAGUCAGCGGCGGACGGGUGAGUAACACGUGGGUAACCUACCUAUAAGACUGGGAUAACUUCGGGAAACCGGAGCUAAUACCGGAUAAUAUGUUUCACCUCAUGGUGAAACAGUGAAAGACGGUUCUGCUGUCACUUAUAGAUGGACCCGCGGCGCAUUAGCUAGUUGGUGAGGUAACGGCUCACCAAGGCGACGAUGCGUAGCCGACCUGAGAGGGUGAUCGGCCACACUGGGACUGAGACACGGCCCAGACUCCUACGGGAGGCAGCAGUAGGGAAUCUUCCGCAAUGGACGAAAGUCUGACGGAGCAACGCCGCGUGAGUGAAGAAGGUUUUCGGAUCGUAAAACUCUGUUGUAAGGGAAGAACAAGUACGUUAGUAACUGAACGUACCUUGACGGUACCUUACCAGAAAGCCACGGCUAACUACGUGCCAGCAGCCGCGGUAAUACGUAGGUGGCAAGCGUUAUCCGGAAUUAUUGGGCGUAAAGCGCGCGUAGGCGGUCUCUUAAGUCUGAUGUGAAAGCCCCCGGCUCAACCGGGGAGGGUCAUUGGAAACUGGGAGACUUGAGUGC